rnacentral:lncRNA from 1 species
UUAAUUGCGGUUACAAUACUUUACUUUUGCAGGUAUAACGGAAUCAUGUGGUCCUGUAGCCACAGUGCCACACUGCCCAAAUGAGGCACCCUGAACUCUUGUCUCCUUCACUUCAUGGUGUUCAUUGGGCGCUUGCUCUGUGCCAGGCAGUCUCCUCACACUGAGACCUGUGCUGUGACUACAACAGACCCAACUCCCUGCCCUUUUGGAGUUGUUGUUCCAGUGGGUAGUAUGUUUAGGAGAAAUAGGGGCUUUGGUGGAAAACAGAGCAGAGGGUAUGGAUGAAGCAUGCUGGCAGAUGGCCCAGGGUGAUCAUUAAAGACAUUUUUUACACCUACCUGCAUUUAAAAAAAAAAAAAUGAGGAGUCUGCCUUAUUUGUGUAAUUAAACAUUUACAAAAGGAAACAAAAGUACCUCAGCCCUGCAGAGAGGAAACCUGGAUUCCCGCCCCCGUUCUGUUCCUAACUCCCGCACUCCGUGCCGCCUUGACCAUUCCAGUCUUCCAUUUCUUUCCCUUGAUGCACAUUCGGCAAGAGCUCUGAGGCCCCGCCAGCUCUCCAUCCUGUAACUGAAUGCCUCCCCCCACUUUGUGCACCUGUCCCGGAAGCCCGUGGCCCACUGGUUGGAGAUAUUUGGAAGCGUUAACAGGUAAAGACUCUGCAGGAAACGG